AACGAACGCUGGCGGCAUGCCUAACACAUGCAAGUCGAACGAGACCUUCGGGUCUAGUUGCGCACGGGUGCGUAACGCGUGGGAACCUGCCCUUAGGUUCGGAAUAACUCACCGAAGGGGGUGCUAAUACCGGUUAAUGUCUUCGCACCAACGAUUUAUCGCCUUUGGAUGGGCCCGGGUUGGAUUAGCUAGUUGGUAGUGUAAAAGCCUACCAAGGCCACGAUCCAUAGCUGGUCUGAGAGGAUGAUCAGCCACACUGGGGCUGAGGCACGGCCCAGACUCGUACGGAACGGAGCAGAGGGUAAUACAGUAGAAGGAAGGAAAGCCUGAUACAGCAAUGCCGCGUAAGUGAUGAAUGCCUUAGUAUUGUAAAGCUCUUUUAGACGGGAUGAUAAUGACAGUACCGGGAGAAUAAGCUCCGGCUAACUACGUG
rnacentral:rRNA from 1 species